GCUAGGCACAGUGGUGCACACCUGUAAUCCCUGCCACUCAGGAGGCUGGGGCAGGAGGAUCACAAGUUUGAGGCUUCCUUAGCAUCUUAGCAAAGCCCUAAGCAACUUAGUGAGACCCUGUCUCAA
rnacentral:sRNA from 1 species